CGGCUCGCCUCCACCUCCGCGUCGCGCGCCCCCCGCCUCGCCCAGCCCAAGGUGCAGGGGUUCGCCCGGGCUCGCCGGUCCUACCCGGCCGCGUUCGCCGCCUCCGCCAUGUCGACGUCGUCGGGAGCCAAGGAGGCACCGGCCAACAACCCGGGCCUGCAGGCCGAGGUCGACCCCGCCACCAAGGGCUACUUCAUGCAGCAGACAGUAAGCCGAUCCUUCCCGUUUCCUGCUUCGUUUUAGCUGCCGAUUGAGCGGGCAUGCGUGGUAUUGGAUUCGAGUUUGCGCCUCCGUGGGUUUGAUCUGUGGAGUGGAAGGGAGUUUUGUGGCUGGAUUUGGCCGAAGCAAUAUGUCGAACAGUUGGUGGUCCGUACGUGCUUGCUGUGGCAGGUUAUAGAAUUGGGAGAAAACAACACUUACCGAGGACUAAGUGAUGGGUGUUGUUAGUUCCAUGUGAUAAUUUCGAGCAGCGUUGUUGGUUUUGCAGCUGCAGUGUCAACUUAGCAUCCCACUCUGUUUGGCCCAGUAUUGCCGCUGUGCAUAUGUUUUAUUACUGCACCACGUAUGGUAUGGAGUUGUUUCUGUGGAAUGCUG